CAGAUAAUAGUUUAAUUAAAAAUAUUAAUUUUGGAAAUUAAUGAUAUUAUUUAUUAAUUUAUCUGA
rnacentral:tRNA from 1 species